AGUUGUUAUGCGCCCUUUCACUUUUGAAAAUUGAAGACGCAGUUGUUGAAGACUGACUUUGAAAGAUAUUCCGUGGACAUUACUGAGUUAACAGAAGACUGAGGUGGAGGAACUUGAAGAACAGGGCUGCAGUCGACAGGUGUAGGCAAUUCAUUCAUUGAUAGAACACAAGACGCAGAUGAAUCUCCUGAAAGAACUGACAUCGCAGAGGAUGUAGAAGUGGAAGUACAGGUGGGUAAGGGACAAUUGUCACUGGGAUUUGUGAUUGUUGACAAACAUGAGCUCACCAAACGCUUCUGUUGAUUCGAUAGAUUUCUGUUAUAUGUUUUCAAGGACGCCUCGCUUCGAUGUCCCGACAUAAACAUGAUUUGGCGUGCUUGGAAACCGGCAUCACUCAUGGCUGUGAUGGCUGUGGCACGGAGGCAGUGUGGUGUGUAGGUCCUCAUGCAUUUUGACGAUUUACAUAUAUCGGCCAUGAAUCCUGUGAAUGACCUUUUUGCUAAAGGUUUAUCAGUGUACCACACUUCUUGCAGACCUGGAAGAGAGAGAGCAUCCUUAAAGCAUGAAUUAAAGAGAUACAGAUUGCCUUGCAUCCUGAAAGUUCUGCAUUUCAUUUUCGGAGAUAGAUUUGAAUCUCUUUGCUGGUGGGGGUGUAUGAACAGGCACACCAGGACAUGGCAGACCCUCCAUAUCUGAUACUUUCAGCUCUUUCUCCAUUUCAUUAGUUUCCUCAACACUCAGAGGUGCCAUAAAGGAAAGAUCUAGUGAUGCAAAUAUGUCAUCGUCUAGCAGAAGGUACAUUUCUGCGUCACCCAUAUCAAAGUUGCCAAAUUCAGCCAUUGUUUACAUUAGAGUGACCUGGGGUCAGUGUAGCAGACGAAAAUUUAGACAUACAUGAAUAAGACAUUGUUUUGCAGAAAUGUUUUAUUAUUGAUUGAGUCCACUGCUUGGAAUACAAAUAAAACGAUAAAUACAA